rnacentral:tRNA from 1 species
GUCCCUGUAACGCAAUGGAUAGCGCGUUGGACUUCAAUUCCGAAAGUCGUGGUUUCAAAUCCCAUCUGGGAUG